AGACAAGCCAUAGCAGUGUUAAGGGGGGUCAAACAGGUGACACGGGACGAGUGGCGGAAUGCUCUCGCACUGUUGUAGUGCAUCUGGCCCUUUGUUCACGAUGAAUCAGGAAGCCAUUGGCAUAUUUUGAGCUAGAGAGUGACAAGACCCUGCUAAUCUCUUUAAAUGUCACUGCUUCAACAAAGCCAAAGAGGGAGCAGAGAAAACAAUUUUGAGGCAGUUGCAAUAAUGUAGGCAAGAGAUGAAGUGGCAGCAGUGGGAAAAACGAGACUAUAAAAUGCCAGGUGAAGUCUGGAGGAGAUCAUCUAAGGAGUGAGUCUAAAGAGAAGACAUCCAGACACUCAGCCCCGAGGCACCAGCAAGAGGGGGAGACUUGUGCAAGAAACUGAGAAGGAGCAGCCAGUUUUUUGUGAAGAAAACCAACAGAAAGUGGUAACCUAGAAAGCACGCUAAGCAGGGUAGCCACAUAGUUCACUGGACAAGUGAGGUCACUCGAGAAUGCUAGCGGACACUGAUAUACCAGGAUGUCGUCGUGAGGCCCUCAGGACCACUGGGGGACUUUGAAGAAGAGCGCUCGGUGAGCCGUUUGCAGUCGACGCUCCUACACAGAGCCGGAAAAGAGCCGCGUGCUCGCAGAACACACUGUGGACCCUGCUGUCAAGGGAACACUGUUGAGGUUUGCUCUAGAAUGUUCCCCAAAACUCUCCUGAGCUCGGCGGCAUGGUUCUGGAGGGUGAUUAGAUCUGGGGGCCUUGUACUCAUCAAUGGUUUCACCCUGGGUGGGUUCAGCUGUCGAGGGUGCUGUUGGGACCCUGGGCGGUGUGACGUGGAAGGAUGCAUCUCCCUGCGCUGGGCCCCUCCCUUCUCUCUCCUUUCUGGUCGCCAUGAGGUGAGCAGCUUGCCUCCUCCGAGGCCCUUCCACCCCUUCCCCCACCUUGGAGCCAUUCAAACAUGGGCUGAGUCCUCUGAACAGGAGCCAGAAUACCCCUCUCUACCUUUAAGUUGGGGGUAUGGAGUAUUUUGUCCUAGCAACAAGGAAGUGACAGAGAGAGCCUCUCUUGGCUACCAUCUUGAAGAAAUCUGCAACUUUGCCCUUUGGGGAUGUUUUCCACUCUUUUCAUGAGGCCGGGACAGGAGCAGGACCGCAGAAGCCUUCUUUCAGCUGACAUGUAAAGCCUGUACUGAAAAAGUCUAAUGUUCCCAUCUGGCGAGGAAGAGGAAAGUGCGUGAAAAUGAAGUUGCGGUUACAUCAGUCCAAUACUAAUGAAGGUGAUACCCACUUGGCAUGGUAGAAAGGUUGCAGAGCAAGCCUCAGCGGAAGUGAUAGGCUGUGUCCUUGGGAACGUUGGAGCACACCUGGCAAAUUGGAAAGUUGGAGGGCUUGAGGAUCCUGAGCAGAAAUACUUUAGUUGACUGGAACUGGAUCUAAGGAAGAAGGAUAAGAGUUCAAGUUGGAGAGGAACAAUGGGCAGCUCCGAGAGGACUUUCCAUGGAAACUCCCAAAACAACAGUAGGGAGGCAUAUGACACGAACAAAUGACUUCAGAGCAGCAUAUUGUACCUCUCAUAUACCUGGCAUUCUGAAACACAAUAUUUACAUCGCACACAAUGUGUUCCUAGCAGUGCCUUGAAUGUACGGAAUACAAAGGAAGUGAAGCUUGUACUCUCCACUCUCAAGAAAAGGGUGGUCUUCUUAAGAGAGCCACACCGAGACAGCCAAAGAAGAUGCCUGACGAGAUAACUUAGUCGAGUUUGAACUUUGGAGAAGUUGCCUGGGUUUGGCCCAGGCCUGAAGCUGCAAAGCACCACUUUCCUCAUUUGAAAAGAAAGAUAUUACCAGGACCGACCUCGCUGGCUGGUUGUGGCAGUGAAUGGUGACUGGGUGGUAGUCGCAAUGUCGACGCCGUGCUAUCGCCAAGGUACUCUGCUCAUGUUUUGGAAUAACAAGCCAAGGUGAAGCAUCGCUUUGUGUACCACCGGGGACUUGGUGGGAGAGCCUGACAAAGCAGAAUAGUGAUGGCGAUGGAAGAAACAAUGAAGCUCUCAAGUGCUCAAACUAUGAAUGGGAUCUGAGUUGUAGAAAACACCUAGCCAGACCUUCUAGACGAUAAUAACACAGAUCAGCCAAGCUAAAAAGUAAAAGCAACAACAACGAAACAAAAGCAGACCUGAAGGCUGGCUGGCUAACUGGCUGGAAAUGUCAGUCCCAGGUUUCUUAUUGAGUCAGCACUUUUUUAUUUCUCCCGAAGCACCCUAAAAAGCCCACACCAGUCUGAUUGCCAGUGAGGUCAGAAUUGUGCAGAUGUUCCCGUCUUCCAGCUCAGAUAGCAGAGCUUCUGGAAAGACAUAAGAACUGAAAUUACCUCCACGUAGCAGAAUUCCCACUAGAUCCUCCUUUCCUACUCUCCACACUGCCCACCUCAAGACCAGCCUUGCUUCCCUGGUGCUUUUGGUGUACAGGAGAGAUGACAUGGGAAGCUGGCCCAGGUCCCGUGUGACAUGGCUGCUCUGUGCAGGGGACCAGGCGGGGCAGUCAGUCCAGGUGACACUGGAUCCUUUUCCCUGUGCACACGCCAAAGAGAGACCGUUCUAUUAGACAGGUACAGGACACAUUGGAGGAGACAAAGUACCAGCAGCAAGGAGACCAACCAUGGAACCAUUGCAGUAAGCCGAUGGCCAUGGCAGCAGUAGGAGGUAAAGAAGAAUGAGGAUGAUGGAAAUCAUAAUAAACUGAGUACCAUAAAGUGGCUAAGUGACCCACUAAGUUCGGAAUCUUUUGAAAAACUGAUGAAAGCCACAGCCCUUUAAGCUGCAAUAUACAGGCCGAGUUUUGCCUAGAGUUUCAGGUAGUUCCAUGGUCCCAGCCUAAGAAUUGCUAGUGUAGAGGGACCGUUUGUCAGAUUUGACUAAUAAGCAAGCAGAAAAAGAGGCAGAUGUCAACAUGAUGCCAACAUUUGAUCCUGAUGGUUUGGAGACAGGGAGGAUGCUGGGAGGGGUGUCUCACCUGCUUUGCUGGGUUUUGUCGCUGAGUCUCCAAGUGGAUGGAAGAGGAUCUUGACUUAGAGAACUGCUGCUCGGAGAUCACUGCUGUAGCUGUAAAAUCGGGUGAUCUUUCUGGGGAAGAGGAUACAGAGAGAAAAGCAGGGACCCAAGAUCUGAAGAGGUCUCCGGAGAGAUAGGAAGAGGGAGCACAGGGCUCAGUAGCCCAAAGAGGAAAUUGUCUAGGAGAAAGGUGGCCCAUAGUGGUCUUCAUUGGUACAGCAGAAAAACGAAGUGACGGGGCCAGGGAUUUAGCUCAAUGGUGCUGCCACCUGCCUCGCAAGUACAAGUCCCAAAUUUAAUCCCCAGUACCAAAAAAAGAAAAAGGAGGUGAUAGUGCCAGAGACAGCAUCCAGCAGAAACAAUAAAACUCAUGGAUUUUUCCAAAAUGGAAGGUGCCCAUAGUAAAUAAAACUCACAUAUCAAUAAUUGAAAACCGUGCAUAUCACAAUGCUUAAUAAAUAUAUUGUUUAUUAAGACGACUGAGAUUAUGGUGGACUGGGAGUUUCUUCUGCUGUGCAAUCUUUGAUGUAACGGGCAGUGGUGGUCAGGUUCAUGGGGCUUCAGGGGGCCCAUCUGUGGCCUUCUUUAGUAACACACCUCUGACGUGACCCUCCUGGUGACCCAGGCGAUCCGGAAUCGUUUUGUAAUGGUUCCUCCAGUGAUGCUCCCUAGCAGGGGUCCUUCAUUCAGCGCUCAGGCAGGGCCCAGCCCAACGUUUGCCCUUGGCCAUCACGGCCUGGAACGAGGGCCUUUGUGAGCCUGAGCAGGGCCAGACUCCUCAUCCCCCGCAGCAGAGAGCACCCACAGGCACCCCACCUUUGAAAUCGUCUUUGGCGACAGCAGCCUGUUCAUCAGACUGGAGAGUGUAUGGCAUCCUUUCCCAUCACUUUAAAGUGCUCUUUGUUGGUUUUUCCCAUGCUUUAAUCAUCUCCCAAUCAUCCUUUAGAAAGCUCAGAUUUCAGGAGAGAAAAAGGUUUUCUAGGGCUCUGUGCACAAGUCCCCUUUACUUUUUGGGCUGAGCGUUUCUCCCAAGGUCACUUUGUCAGCUCUAAGGGGACAUAGCCAGAUGGUGGUGCCCCUUCUUCCAGGGGUCCUGGCCCAAAGGCGUGUGGUCGCAGUGCAGGUUCCACACAACAACACGUGUGAAGUGAAAGCACCUGGCCGGUGGCUUGUGUCAUGGAGCUUUCUGAGAGGCCAAAGACAGCCACUGCCAUUCCAGAACAACUGUGUCACGUGUGCCCACGUGGACACGACCAUUUCCACGUCUAAUUUAUUCUCCCCCAUGCCCGCCAGAGAAGUGCCUGUGUCUGCCUUCGUUUAGCAGAUGAGGACUUCAGACUGGCAAGUUGGUGGCAUUCCCAAGGCCAGCUGUCUUCAGUUCUGAGCAGGGUGAGGAAUAAAGAGAUGGGAGAAUCAUAUCACAGAGAAGUAUGUGCACCCAUGUUUAU